AUCUUACGGGGCGCAGCAGUGGGGAAUAUUGCACAACGGGGGAAACCCUGAUGCAGCGACGCCGCGUGAGUGAAGAAGUAUUUUGGUAUGUAAAGCUCUAUCAGCAGGGAAGAAGCAAGACGGUACCUGACUAAGAAGCCCCUGCUAACUACGUGCCAGCAGCCGCGGUAAUACGUAGGGGGCAAGCGUUAUCCGGAUUUACUGGGUGUAAAGGGAGCGUAGACGGUAUGGCACAUCUGAAGUGAGAGCCCAGGGCUUAACCCUGGGACUGCUGUGGAAACUGUUAGACUAGAGUGCUGGAGAGG
rnacentral:rRNA from 1 species